UACGAGGACGACGCUGGCGGCGUGCUUAACACAUGCAAGUCGAACGAUGAACCCGGAGCUUGCUCCGGUGGAUUAGUGGCGAACGGGUGAGUAACACGUGAGUAACCUGCCCUUGACUCUGGGAUAACUGCUAGAAAUGGUAGCUAAUACCGGAUACGACCCUCGGCGGCAUCGCCAGGGGGUGGAAAGAAUUUCGGUCAAGGAUGGACUCGCGGCCUAUCAGCUAGUUGGUGAGGUAAUGGCUCACCAAGGCGACGACGGGUAGCCGGCCUGAGAGGGUGACCGGCCACACUGGGACUGAGACACGGCCCAGACUCCUACGGGAGGCAGCAGUGGGGAAUAUUGCACAAUGGGCGCAAGCCUGAACCAGCCAUGCCGCGUGCAGGAAGACGGUCCUAUGGAUUGUAAACUGCUUUUAUUUGGGAAUAAACCUAUCUACGUGUAGAUAGCUGAAGGUACCAAAUGAAUAAGCACCGGCUAACUCCGUG
rnacentral:rRNA from 1 species